UGGGUGUAUAGCUCAGUUGGUAGAGCAUUGGGCUUUUAACCUAAUGGUCGCGGGUUCAAGUCCUGCUAUACCCAA
rnacentral:tRNA from 3 species